CAGAAUUCCAGGGUGCACCAAAUGACCCGGAAAACAACACAACAAAUUUUGGUUUUCUUGGAAUUGUGGACUUCAGGACACUGUGGCCAUAUGAAGGGGCUGACAUGGGUGUCAAUCAGCAUCACGCUCCAUCUAUAGGAUCGACUAGAGAAUAUUAAUAGCUACUAGUAAAAGACUGAGGACCAAGUGAUGACAUGACAGGACCCACGAUAGUCACCAUACUGUGCUGUUUCAACUCACCAUGUAAACCAACUCCAGUAAGCCCGCAGAAAGAAAGGGGAGAAGUUAUUUGAAGCAGUGGAACCGGGAGCAACAUGUCAGACAAUGAGUGAUGAAUUCAAUAUGGGAGCCAAACAAAGGAGGGUCCACAUGGUUCCAGCCAACAACAAAACCUGUUCAAAGAGAAAUACUAAACCCUCCUCUCCAGCAUCCCUGCCUCUAACCAAGGACAUGUUUGCUGUCACCCAAAACAGUGUUUAUCUUCCCUCUGUGUAAUCCAGCUUUGUUUAUGGGUUAUCCCUAUAUGUGGCAUUGAUAGGUGUGUAUCAAGGCUGUGUGUGUGCCACAGGGAAGGGAGGAGACAACAGGAAGCAGAAAAUAAUAAUUAUACACUGGUGUUUUAUUGACAGGAGUAAUAACUGGGAAAUGUGAGGCUGGUUCACAUUGCAUUAUGCCAAAGAAAUGCUCUGACAUUUUUUAAUAGUUUGAGAUUUUGGCGAAUAUGCUGAUGACCUCUCUUGGUGAGAGUUAUAUGAGAGGAUCGACACCACUCUCAUGUGUGUGGCGCUGGAGGCAUGAGGUGAUUAACUUAGCUUAGCUAGCAUAAUGGCUGGAAGCAGGGGAAAUCAGCUAACAGGGUUCAUGUUAGCUAAGAAAUACUUACAGCACGCAAUUCCAUGUAAAACCAUAAUUGGCUGUUUUUACAUUUUUAUGUAUGUACUUAUUAAACAGACAAGAUACGGCAUGUUAAUGUGUUAGCUUUAGAGGUGAACCUUAGAGAGAACCCUCUCGGCUAAGUUAGGCUAGGCUAAGUUAACUGCUAAAUGACCAUCACACGAACCCUAAAGUCCAAUGUGACAUC